CGAAUACAUUACGUUGUUACAGGUGUCAAACUUAUGGGCAUGUGACAGCAGUGUGUAGGAGGGAGAUUCCUAGGUGUGAGAAUUGUUCAUAAGGGCAUGAGACAAAGGAAUGUGUAGCAUUGGGAAAGUAGUGGUAUGUGUUAAUUGUAGGGGUGCCCUUGGGGCUGGGGAUCAGAAAUGUCCCGUGCGAGAGGCAGGUUGUGGUUUCCAGGGUUAGAAUAGUGCAGAAGUUUUCAUAUGUGGAGGAAGUGAAGAAAGUAGAGGAAGAUUGGUCAAGGGGGAGGGAUCCUAAGAGGAGUGGUGUGAGUAGUAGAUUUGUACCAGUACAGAAGGAUAGGCCAACAAGUAAUAUAUGUUUCAGUAAGAUUGGAUUUUUUAGCAUUUAUAGCAAUGGUUAUCAACUGUACUGCAAGGUUGGAACGUAAGUUGCAGAAAAUUGAGGUUGUAGUGUCAGCUGCAGAGAGGUAUUUGGGUGUUCGAGACUUGACAUCAUACGAGUUCCUGGGUGUGUUAAGUGGUGCUGUCCCAUCCUUUCAGCUUGUUGACCUGAGGUAGGACUAAAUAGAUUUAAAUAGUGGAGUAGGGGGGGUGUCCUUUUUUUGUGCGUACAGUGUUAACUUAGAUGUUAUGGUUAUUUGUUUCUUCAAGCAAAGUAUAAGGGAGUUGUACUACAGUCUAGUAGUAGGUGGCGGUAAUGCAACAUUUAUUGGGUGCCAACCGCCGUUAAACUUAAUCCGAAGAAGAAGUUCACGUUUUGGCUACAGAAUAAUCAUCCUGUCUGAGAGAACGUUCGAGAGACACCCCAACUCUGACGGCGUCCCGAAUAUUUUCACAACAGGGGCAAGAAUCUGCUAGAUCGUUAAUCACCUCCGAAAUUCUGCCACCUUGCAUCAUUGAAUUACAAUCCCAGCAACACACCAGCUAUUGGCAGCAGCAGUACUAGGCAACACUUCACUGUGCCUCUUGGACGACCAUCGUUGUUUAUGUCUUUGUUUUACGAAAACGGUGAGUGCAUAACGACCAGCUAUAGAAUUAUGCAGCUGACGUCAAUAUAUACGCUUUGUUUUUGUAUGUAUAUUUCGAUGUAGCUACUUUUUUCUAGUGAAAUUCGUGGCGUAGUUAUGUCUCGGCUAAAUAAGAAUAUCAAAAUGGCGUCUCCCAUCACUCGUGCCAUCUGAUAAAUCAUGACGCACUCUGCAGCGCAAACUUACCUAGAUUCAUCAAUUCAUCCCGGUUGCUAAUCAACCCGAUCUCU
rnacentral:lncRNA from 1 species